UGGCAAGUAACUCUUCCUGGUGAGCUUCA
rnacentral:piRNA from 1 species